GCUGGCUGCAUCCCUGCCUUUCUGAAGCCGGUUCCCUGUGCGCGGGCUCCCUAGGUGUUCGGCCACGGCAAAGCCAACGGGGAGCCGACGUGGGCGCUGCUCCUGACCGCGGGCAUCGCGGAGCUGGGCAUCCUCAUCGCCUCGCUGGACCUGGUGGCCCCCAUCCUGUCUAUGUUCUUCCUGAUGUGUUACCUCUUCGUCAACCUGGCCUGCGCCUUGCAGACCCUGCUGCGCACCCCCAACUGGAGACCCCGCUUCCGCUACUACCACUGG